GAGACCAGAGCUCUCUCUCUCUUUCUCUCUCUGCCAAGUGAGGACACAGCCAGAAGAGGACUCUUCCAGGAACUGAAUCUGUUGGCACCUUGAUCUUGGUUUUCUCAGGCACAGAACUAUGAGGGAUAGACGUUUGUUCUUUAAGUCCCCCCGGUCUACAGUAUUUUGUAACAAAAGCCCAGGCUGAAUAACACAGGGGCCAAAUUUGUUGACUACUUGUUGGGCAAAGUAAACAAGAAAAAACAAAAACGACAUGCCAAGCCAGACUCAGUCUAAUCCAACAAACUACAGGGGACCCGAUUCUUUCAAAGCCUGCAGAAUUUACGUCUCCAUGGUGGGGGCAGACUAUCUCUUAGUUACAGGCCUCUGGAUAAAAAUGCAACCUAGCAGGCAUGGCAGACUUGUGGGACCCUGAGCACUAAACACAUCUAAGCUGUGCGUGGACUCCUGACUUACAAAAGUUUGAGGAUAAUAAAUGAAAAUUGUUUUUAAA